UGUAGAUUCUGCUUUCGACCAGAUUUGUGUCGCUUCGUCUUCCGUUUACUCAGUAGGAACACAACUUGGUAGUGAUGGAGGUUGACGAGGGCAUGGUAGCCAUCGUGCAAAGCUCGAAGCACGCCGGGCUCACCGUCACACUGCUGCCGGUGAGGCACGCGACCUGCGGGAACCGUGUUCUGAAUGCCACGGGUAUGAAAACAACUCGCGGGAGUAAGUCCAAUGUUGAAACGACUACAGAAAGAAUAUCCAAAAACUCCAUCGCACCGGUGUGGGACAUCAGACAUGAUAGUGGAUAUCAGUUUGCAAACUGCCUCCGAGUGCCAUCACAUCGGCAAAG